rnacentral:lncRNA from 1 species
AGAAGUUUCUUAGCCACUCGGCCUCAGAACCAGUUAACUCUCGAGCUACAAACUUUGAUUCCAUAGUCGAUCUAGUAAUGAUCGUCUAUUUAGCUGAUUUUCAUGAUAUUGCACCACCACCAAGGGUGAAUACAUAACCACUAGUGGAUUUUGUCUCAUCUGAAUUAGAGAUCCAGUUUGCAUUACUGUACCCUUCUAAAAUAGAAGAAAAUUCACUAUAUAGGAUACCAUAAUUCAUGGUGUCUCUCAAAUAUUUCAUUAGUCUAUCUAAUCCAGACCAAUGCUAUACCCUUCUAACGUAGAAGGAAAUCCACUAGGAUACCAUAAUUCAUGGUUCCUCUCAAAUAUUUCGUUAGUCUAUUUAAUGCAGACCAAUGUACUCUGUUGGAAUUAUGAGUAUAUCUACUCAGUCUACACACAUCAUAGGCUAUAUCAGGCCUUAUGAAAUUCAUUAAAUGCAUCAGACUCCAAAUAAUUUGAGCAUAUUUAGACUGAGCAACUGGGUCAACAUUAUUCUUUUUCAACUUAGAGUUAGAAUCAAAAAGAGUACUCACAGAUGUGAUAUUAAAAUAUUCACACUUCUUAAGAAGUCUCUCAACAUAAUGUUCUUGUGAUAACAUUAUGCCACCUUCACUCCUUAUAACUUUAACUCCCAAUAUCAUAUUUACUUCACCCAGAUCUUUCAUAUCAAAAUUAG